rnacentral:tRNA from 2 species
CCGUCGUUCGCCGGCGGAUGUAGCCAAGUGGAUCAAGGCAGUGGAUUGUGAAUCCACCAUGCGCGGGUUCAAUUC